GCAGCGGUAGUUCAGUUGGUUAGCAUACCGGCCUGUCACGCCGGGGGUCGCGGGUUCGAGUCCCGUCCGCUGCGCCA
rnacentral:tRNA from 1 species